rnacentral:rRNA from 1 species
GAUGAACGCUAGCGGCAGGCUUAAUACAUGCAAGUCGAACGGUAAGUUUGGUAGCAAUAUCAAACCAAGAGUGACGUACGGGUGCGUAACACGUAUGCAACCUACCUUGUACAGGAGUAUAGCUCGGGGAAACUCGAAUUAACCCUCCAUGAGAUCAUAGAAUGGCAUCAUUUAGUGAUUAAAACUCAGGUGGUACAAGAUGGGCAUGCGUCUGAUUAGAG